rnacentral:rRNA from 1 species
GACGAACCGUGCAAACGUUGUUCGGAAUCACUGGGCUUAAAGGGCGCGUAGGCGGGUCAGCAAGUCCGGGGUGAAAUCUUUCGGCUUAACCGGAAAAGUGCCUUGGAUACUGCUGGUCUUGAGGGAGGUAGGGGUUCGCGGAACUUCUGGUGGAGUGGUGAAAUGCGUUGAUAUCAGAAGGAACGCCGGUGGCGAAAGCGGCGAACUGGACCUCUUCUGACGCUGAGGCGCGAAAGCUAGGGGAGCAAACGGG